CCCGAUCAAGUAAUCUGAGAUCUCGGCAAAUCUGGCCCGUCUUUACUCAUAUCUCGCCCUAUCUUCUUAUAUGAAAUUGAUUAUAGAAAUCAGAUUGAAUCAUCUGUUUGCUUCUGGUCACACCCUAUCAUCACCAGCAGCACCCUUCACCUUUUCUGCUCUGCUUCUGUAAAAUCGUUAUUUUCUCCACCUCUAUAUAGUCACAACACCCACCAGCGACCUACACUAUUACGUUGGUGCAAUGAAAGAAACACUCAUCACAUGUAAAGCCACACUCAUUCAAUAAGACCAACCCCCCUCAUAUCCCGUUUCAUUCAAAGUUUGAAACCCUAUCCCUUUCUCUCUCUGUAACCCUUUUCGUCUCACGACACCCUUCCACACUAUGCCUCCUUUUCCAUUCUGUAUGUGCUUUUUUUAUUAGAAGAAGAUGGUGAGUAGAAACAUUUUCCAGAAUCAACUUUGAUAUGGAAUGUGUUAUUUUUCUACAAUUGGUUUAAAAUGUGUGUGUGUGUGUGUGUUUUUUUUUGUGUUUACUUUCAGUUGAAUGAAGAAAGGUGAUGAAGGAGUUCAGAUCCUCAUGACACAUCUGAAGAUUGAUCCAGUAAGCAUCAUCUACGUCUUUCCAAUCAAUUUCUAUUUUUGUUUUUUUAUUUCUUACAAUUUAUCAUUUCUUUUGCUCCCCACAUGAGGCCUGGAGAAUGAAACACUUACUACAUAUAUCCAAGCCAAUAUGAUUGUCAGAACCAUCACUAAUGUUGGUGCUAUUAUAAGUGUAAAGCAUGAUCCUGAGAUUAAUAACCGCCUAUUUGCCAUUUGCUUAUCAUUCAUACACAUAGUUCAAACUAUUAGCUUUCUUAGGUUCGAAAUAUUCUUUCUAAUAUGUUUAUGUUUACAAUUUUCUUUUACAAUUUGUUAUCUCUCUUCUUUAUGAUUUGACAUAAGUGUUUGAAAAAGUAUUUUCAGAUCUAGAUGAAGAUGAACAAGAACGGGAAUGAAAAAGGGUUUAUAAUGCUUUUCAGAUUGCAUGAGGUAGCAAGGUAUUUUAUUUAUUUUUGAAAUGUAUUGAAGGAGUAAGUUGUUGUAUAUUAUGUAUGCAAGUUUUUUAAUGUUUUGUCUUUUCCGUGUCCUUUAAUUUGUAUUAUUAAAUUUAUAUUUCAAUUUUUUUCUAGCUAGAUAUUGUUGACUAAGAUAUGUUUGUUUUAGUUACUAUUUUAUUUUGUUGAGAUUUAGAUAAAUAUUGUUGAUGAGGAGGUUCUUUUUCAAGAAAAAGAAAAAACAGUGGCCAAGAAGCACCAGGUGUUGGCAAGGUUACUUUAGUCUUUGCUCAACUCUUAUUUGACUCUUCUGAAACACACACACAUAGAAAGACACAUUUAAGCUUCAUCCAUAUGUUUCUAUUAUACAUGUUUGGAUUUAUGUGUGUAUUUCCAUUUAAAUUCAAUGUGUAUACUUUUAACUACAAAUACUUACCUUGUAUCACACUUGGCAGACAUAAAUAUUCAAACGUGAGAUGGGGUAAAUGGAUCAAUUUGUUUUUUACUCAUAGAUCUGGUUUCUUUUUUGUCUCAGGGAUGAAGAUAGGGGAAGCCAAGAAAACAGGGCAUAAGAAAUAUGGAUGGUUGAGGUAAGGAUGGUGAUAUAUGAUGAAAACUACUCUUUUAAUUAAAUUUGGUAACACAUUUUAACAUGUGAGCGACAUCACUGCCAAAUUGAAGGCUAAUAGUAAUAGUACCAUCUUAACGUUCAAUGAAAUGCCUCUAGCAAAGACUCUUAGUCAGCAUGCUACUUAUAUGCAAAUCCAUUCAGCACACAUAUAUAGUGUAGAUAUGGUAUUUUUUAUCAUCCUUCAUAGGUUUACACUUGUGUAUCAUGUAUUUUCACUAGUUAUAUAUUCACUCCCAACAACACAUAAACAUUGAUUUAAAGGUAUGUGUAUGGUUAUUGGAUUGUAGAAACAGUUUGUAGUGACACAAUCCAGUGAAGCAAUUAUAGUUUCAAUAAAGAAACGGUAAAAAAAGCAACAACGAAGAAGGAAGAUGAAUCUUAGGUGCUGUUUGUUUUGGAAGUGGUUAAAUGUCUUUGUCUUUUUCCAAGUUUGCGGAAGAAGACGUGCACUUGCGAAACGUCUACCCGCCAGAAGGGAAAAGUGCUCAAAAAGUACUUUUGUAGAAAAACAAACGAGGCCUUAGUGUAGAUACUAAAUUUUUAUAACCAAUUUUUCUUUAUGUGAUUUUGAAUGACAAUAUUUUACAAAGUUUAGUGAUUUAUAAUAUAAAGUGAACAUUACAUGGAAUAGAAACAUUUUGAAGAUAAAUAGGAUUGAGAAAUUAUUUCAAGCAUGUAAGGCCAAAAAUAUAGUAGAGAUUGGGAAGACACCGACUAUUAAUAAUGUUGUUUUUUCUGUCAUGAAUCUCAAAGGUUAGUCGUGUUCGUUCAUGUCCUUCUUUGCUUCCAUCAAGUGGUAUCAAUCUGCAAAUAAAAUUAGAUUGAGUUUUACCAUGUGGCAACUCUAUAUUUUUUAUGUUUUCUUUUUCCAAUUUUCUGAUAUACUAUAUGAAAUUGAGAUGGUUUCAUAAACUCCUAAAAAAUAGGGUUGUUCCAUAUGUAAAAUUUAAUUAUUCAUAGUUUACUUUAUUUUUCUAUGUGGGUGCAAAACAUCUACAAAAUAAAUAGAUAUAAAAUAAGUUAAAAGUAAAAAUUACAUUAUCUAUGUUAUAUUAUUUAUAUAUGUUAUCAAGUAAUAAGAAAUAUAACAUUAAUAUCGAUGGAUAAAAAAGGUAAAUUGAAACUGUAUUACCAAACGAACAUGCUUUGAAAGAUGGAGAAAAUGUCAAAAUUACAUUCUUACUUAAAAUUAAAAUUUGGGACAAUUAAUAAAUCUACGUUUAUAAUUUGGCACAUUUAAUAAAUCUUUUUUUAUUCUAUCCAAGCAUUUUUAAAAGUUUUGGAUUUUGUUUUUUUAUAC
rnacentral:lncRNA from 1 species